UUUGAUUCAAUUCAUAAGACUAAUGAAAGAUAUUGUGACUUUAAUAAAUCAUAAGAAUUAGAACCAAAGUGCUAUGAAGAACAAGCAAACAGCAGGCAGUAUCUCUAAAAUUUCAGCAAACGACCAGGAGAAUCUACAAAGUAGACACAAUGUAUUCACAUGAAGUUUGGAUAUUGUUAGUUUGAUGGACGCCAUGGGCCGUGCAUGCCCUAACUUAAACAAAAUGCACAUAUCAUCAAAUCAAUAAUCCAAUGAAGUUGUAUUUGCUCUAGAGAGUGCUAAUCUCAUGUAAUUUUCUGUCCUACUCUUUCUAUCCAACUCUAUUCGGUUGCCAGCAACAAAGAAUGCGUUAAACAAGAACAAGCAACUGAAGAUUCGGUCUACAAAUGAGAAAUCUCACCCGGAUGGUUGGGGCGGGCGGCCAGGGGAUGGGGUUGGUAGGCGGUGAACGGCGGGCGUCUGAGGGCGGGCGGCGUCCCGGUGGCAGGAGGAGAGGCGGACGGUUUGGCUUUGCGGGAGGAGGCGGACGGUUUGGCUUCGUGGGAGGAGGCGGAGAAGAAAUAGAACGAGGAGGAAACGAACCGGUAUGUUCAUAACCAGUGAC
rnacentral:lncRNA from 1 species